UUAAAGUAACGAGCAAGCUUAAGCCGAUAGGCGUAGGCGCAGCGAAAGCGAGUCUGAAUAGGGCGUUCAGUUCGUUGCUUUAGACCCGAACCGAGUGAUCUAGCCAUGAGCAGGUUGAAGGUGCGGUAACACGCACUGGAGGACCGAACGGGUGUCUGUUGAAAAAGACUCCGAUGACUUGUGGUUAGGGGUGAAAAGGCCAACCAAACUCGGAAAUAGCUGGUUCUCCGCGAAAUCUAUUUAGGUAGAGCCUUGUGUGAAUACCGUAGGGGGUAGAGCACUGGAUGGGCUAGGGGGUCCCACAGACUUACCAAACCUAACCAAACUCCGAAUACCUACGAGUACUGCACAGGAGACACACGGCGGGUGCUAACGUCCGUCGUGGAGAGUGAAACAACCCAGACCAACAGCUAAGGCCCCCAAUUCGUGGCUAAGUGGGAAAGGAUGUGGAAAAUCCCAAAACAACCAGGAGGUUGGCUUAGAAGCAGCCAUCCUUUAAAGAAAGCGUAACAGCUCACUGGUCUAAAUAAGGGUUUCUGCGCCGAAGAUGUACCGGGGC
rnacentral:rRNA from 1 species